rnacentral:tRNA from 1 species
UGACCCAUGGUGUAAUGGUAACACAACGGAUUUUGGUUCCGCAGAGUCCUGGUUCGAAUCCAGGUGGGUCAG